rnacentral:rRNA from 1 species
UACGGAGGGGGCUAGCGUUGUUCGGAAUUACUGGGCGUAAAGCGCGCGUAGGCGGCUUUGUAAGUUAGAGGUGAAAGCCUGGAGCUCAACUCCGGAACUGCCUUUAAGACUGCAUCGCUAGAAUUGUGGAGAGGUGAGUGGAAUUCCGAGUGUAGAGGUGAAAUUCGUAGAUAUUCGCAAGAACACCAGUGGCGAAGGCGGCUCACUGGCCCGGUACUGACGCUGAGGUGCGAAAGCGUGGGGAGCAAACAGG